UACGGGGGGUGCGAGCGUUGUCCGGAAUCACUGGGCGUAAAGGGCGCGUAGGUGGUUUGAUAAGGGUGUGGUGAAAGUCCGGAGCUCAACUCCGGAUCUGCCGUGCCGACUGUCAAACUCGAGGGCUGUAGAGGCAGACGGAAUUCCGGGUGUAGCGGUGGAAUGCGUAGAUAUCGGGAGGAACACCAGUGGCGAAGGCGGCCUUCUGGCUCAUAACUGACGCUGUAGCGCGAAAGCGUGGGGAGCGAACCGG
rnacentral:rRNA from 1 species